rnacentral:lncRNA from 1 species
GCUUUGAUUGUAUGUUCUGGAAAUCUGAUGGUUCUAGGAUACUCUCAGAGGGUGCUGCCAGCAGACAGCCUCUCAGCUCUUAGCCCCCUUUGAGGAUGACCUCAGCUGACAAAAGCUGCCUAACCUAGCCUACACACUCUUCAUAGGUAGCCUUCAUUCAAUGACUGAUGAACAUGUGGUUAUAAAAGCCUGGCCACUUCACCCCAAUUCAGGACAGCUGGUGUUGGCCCCCAAAAUACUUCCUAAUAAAUCUCCUGCAUGAAAUCACCAUCUCAAAGUGUACCUUCUGGAGAAUACAGUGUUUGGAAAGCAGUAAGUCAUGGCUAAAUACAGCAAUAUGCUCUGGAGUUCACUUGGAUACUUCCCUAGGCAAAAGGCAAGUCCAAUUAUGGAUAAACAUGGCUAGACUACGAGCUCAACAUCAAGAAAAGCCAUUUCACCUAUGUAACCAACUAACCUAGAUGACCAAGCCUAAUUAUAGAGUUUUCAUUCAAAACCACUUUGUGCUUGGUAGACACUAAAUUGAAGCAAGGCAGCAAGUGGGUCUCACAGCCAGUCCCUCAAAGACGUAUCAAAAGCAGGAACUUCUUAAAACACUAGAAACUGAACUAGUACUUUACAACCCAUCAGCAAACUAAAGACGGGGAAGACCACACAAAGAUUAUUCACCUUAAUCAAAAACAUGGGACCAGCUCAGCAGCUCAUCACCACAGAAAAUAGAUGAAUGGAAAGAAAAUGGCUGCUCUAGACACGAGGCAAUUUCUGGAAAUCAGGAUGGUGACAUUGGAGAAGAAACUGAAGAUUCUUGGAGAAAUAUUAACUUCAUCUCAGUAAAAUGGAAGGCUUGCCAUGUUUCUCCUGUGGCUUUGACUACUCCUGGCACAUUGUACCUGCAACUUCCCUGCCUGGCCCUCACCCUGAGGCACAAAGACUCCAGUUUGAAAAGUGUAUAAUAUCAAUAUUCUUACAUUCAAGUUGCUUUAAUAUCUGUUAACAUAAACCAAAGCAAGUUAUAGUUAUGGGCUGGUAAGAAGAGAACAACCAUCUAUUGAAAACCGUCUACAGAUAAGUGCUUUGUAUAAUAAAUUAUUUGCUUUAAU